rnacentral:rRNA from 1 species
CCUACGGGAGGCAGCAGUGAGGAAUAUUGGUCAAUGGGCGAGAGCCUGAACCAGCCAAGUAGCGUGAAGGAUGACUGCCCUACGGGUUGUAAACUUCUUUUAUACGGGAAUAAAGUGAGGAACGUGUGCCUUUUUGUAAGUACUUUAUGAAUAAGGAUCGGCUAACUCCGUGCCAGCAGCCGCGGUAAUACGGAGGAUCCGAGCGUUAUCCGGAUUUAUUGGGUUUAAAGGGAGCGUAGAUGGGUUGUUAAGUCAGAUGUGAAAGUUUGCGGCUCAACCGUAAAAUUGCCAUUGAUACUGGUUGUCUUGAGUAUAGAUGAGGUAGGCGGAAUGCGUGGUGUAGCGGUGAAAUGCUUAGAGAUCACGCAGAACUCCGAUUGCGAAGGCAGCUUACUAAACUAUAACUGACAUUGAGGCACGAAAGCGUGGGGAUCAAACAGGAUUAGAUACCCGAGUAGUC